GAUGAACGCUGGCGGCGUGCCUAAUACAUGCAAGUCGAGCGAACGGACGAGAAGCUUGCUUUUCUGAUGUUAGCGGCGGACGGGUGAGUAACACGUGGAUAACCUACCUAUAAGACUGGGAUAACUUCGGGAAACCGGAGCUAAUACCGGAGAAUAUUUUGAACCGCAUGGUUCAAAAGUGAAAGACGGGCUUGCAGUCACUUAUAGAUGGAGCCGCGCUGCAUUAGCUAGUUGGUAAGGUAACGGCUUACCAAGGCAACGAUGCAUAGCCGACCUGAGAGGGUGAUCGGCCACACUGGACCUGAGACACGGUCCAGACUCCUACGGGAGGCAGCAGUAGCGAAUCUUCCGCAAUGGGCGAAAGCCUGACGGAGCAACGCCGCGUGAGUGAUGAAGGUCUUCGGAUCGUAAAACUCUGUUAUUAGGGGAGAACAUAUGUGUAAGUAACUGUGCACAUCUUGACGGUACCUAAUCAGAAAGCCACGGCUAACUACCUG
rnacentral:rRNA from 1 species